rnacentral:snRNA from 10 species
AUACUUACCUGGCAGGGGAGAUACCAUGAUCACGAAGGUGGUUUUCCCAGGGCGAGGCUUAUCCAUUGCACACUCCGGAUGUGCUGACCCCUGCGAUUUCCCCAAAUGUGGGAAACUCGACUGCAUAAUUUGUGGUAGUGGGGGACUGCGUUCGCGCUUUCCCCUG